rnacentral:rRNA from 1 species
UACAGAGGAGGCAAGCGUUGUUCGGAAUUACUGGGCGUAAAGGGCGCGUAGGCGGCCUGUUAAGUCGGACGUGAAAUCCCUCGGCUCAACCGGGGAACUGCGUCCGAUACUGGCGGGCUUGAAUUCGGGAGAGGGAUGUGGAAUUCCAGGUGUAGCGGUGAAAUGCGUAGAUAUCUGGAGGAACACCGGUGGCGAAGGCGGCAUCCUGGACCGACGCUGAGGCGCGACAGCGUGGGGAGCAAACAGG